GCUGAUCCCCUUCGGGGGUGACGCUUGUGGAAUGAGCGGCGGACGGGUGAGUAACACGUGGGCAACCUGCCUGUAAGACUGGGAUAACCCCGGGAAACCGGGGCUAAUACCGGAUAAUACUUUCUUUUGCAUAAAGGAAAGUUGAAAGGCGGCUUCGGCUGUCACUUACAGAUGGGCCCGCGGCGCAUUAGCUAGUUGGUGAGGUAACGGCUCACCAAGGCGACGAUGCGUAGCCGACCUGAGAGGGUGAUCGGCCACACUGGGACUGAGACACGGCCCAGACUCCUACGGGAGGCAGCAGUAGGGAAUCUUCCGCAAUGGACGAAAGUCUGACGGAGCAACGCCGCGUGAGUGAUGAAGGUUUUCGGAUCGUAAAACUCUGUUGUUAGGGAAGAACAAGUUGGGUAGUAACUGACCUAACCUUGACGGUACCUAACCAGAAAGCCACGGCUAACUACGUGCCAGCAGCCGCGGUAAUACGUAGGUGGCAAGCGUUGUCCGGAAUUAUUGGGCGUAAAGCGCUCGCAGGCGGUCCUUUAAGUCUGAUGUGAAAUCUCGCGGCUCAACCGCGAACGGUCAUUGGAAACUGGAGGACUUGAGUACAGAAGAGGAGAGUGGAAUUCCACGUGUAGCGGUGAAAUGCGUAGAGAUGUGGAGGAACACCAGUGGCGAAGGCGACUCUCUGGUCUGUAACUGACGCUGAGGAGCGAAAGCGUGGGGAGCGAACAGGAUUAGAUACCCUGGUAGUCCACGCCGUAAACGAUGAGUGCUAGGUGUUAGGGGGUUUCCGCCCCUUAGUGCUGAAGUAACGCAUAAGCAC
rnacentral:rRNA from 1 species